GGGAAGCUGGUGAAAAUCCGGCACGGUCGCGCCACUGUAAUCUGGUGCAGGAGCACACAUUCUCCUGUCAGCAGAAAGUCAGACC
rnacentral:ncRNA from 2 species